ACAAGCAGAUAUGGUGCGAAGCACUAAUAUCACAAGUAGAUAUGAUGCGAAGCACUAAGUGCAAUAAGGAAAUGCAUUCAUACAUAUUCAUCAUAAAAUGUAAAUGCAACAUCCACACACAAGUAGAUAACAGUUUUGAAAAGAUUGUAAUAGCGGCUUAAGUCCUCUAACUGGAGUCCCCAGUAGAGUCGCCACCUGUCGACGUCGG
rnacentral:lncRNA from 1 species